UACGUAGGGUGCAAGCGUUGUCCGGAAUUACUGGGCGUAAAGGGCGUGUAGGCGGCCAAUUAAGUCAGACGUGAAAACCCAGGGCUUAACCUUGGGAUUGCGUUUGAAACUGAAUGGCUUGAGGAUCGGAGAGGGCAGUGGAAUUCCCAGUGUAGCGGUGAAAUGCGUAGAUAUUGGGAGGAACACCAGUGGCGAAGGCGGCUGCCUGGACGACACCUGACGCUGAGGCGCGAAAGCGUGGGGAGCGAACAGG
rnacentral:rRNA from 1 species